UACAGAGGGGGCAAGCGUUGUCCGGAAUCAUUGGGCGUAAAGCGCGUGUAGGCGGCCAGAAAAGUCCGCUGUGAAAACUCGAGGCUCAACUUCGAGCUGUCGGUGGAAACUUUCUGGCUAGAGUCCGGAAGAGGAGAAUGGAAUUCCUGGUGUAGCGGUGAAAUGCGCAGAUAUCAGGAAGAACACCCGUGGCGAAGGCGGUUCUCUGGGACGGUACUGACGCUGAGACGCGAAAGCGUGGGGAGCGAACAGG
rnacentral:rRNA from 1 species